AAUCAACGCUGGCGGCGUGCCUCAGACAUGCAAGUCGAACGCGAAAGCUCCCUUCGGGGAGCAAGUAGAGUGGCGCACGGGUGAGUAACACGUAGGUAAUCUACCUUUGGAUGGGGAAUAACCACCGGAAACGGUGGCUAAUACCGCAUAAUGCAGCGGCACCUAAUGGUGACAGUUGUUAAAGCGGGGGAUCGCAAGACCUCGCGUCUGAAGAGGAGCCUGCGGCAGAUUAGCUAGUUGGUAAGGUAAAGGCUUACCAAGGCGAUGAUCUGUAGCCGGCCUGAGAGGGCGGUCGGCCACACUGACACUGACAUACGGGUCAGACUCCUACGGGAGGCAGCAGUCGGGAAUUUUGGGCAAUGGGCGAAAGCCUGACCCAGCAACGCCGCGUGAAGGAUGAAAUCCCUCGGGAUGUAAACCUCGCAAGAACGGGAAGAAUAAGCCGGUGUCAACACCAUCGGCGAUGACGGUACUGUUUGUAAGCUCCGGCUAACUCCGUGCCG
rnacentral:rRNA from 1 species